rnacentral:rRNA from 1 species
CUUCCAUGCAGUCGACGGCAGCAUAGGAGCUUGCUCCUGAUGGCGAGUGGCGAACGGGUGAGUAAUAUAUCGGAACGUGCCCUAGAGUGGGGGAUAACUAGUCGAAAGACUAGCUAAUACCGCAUACGAUCUACGGAUGAAAGUGGGGGAUCGCAAGACCUCAUGCUCCUGGAGCGGCCGAUAUCUGAUUAGCUAGUUGGUGGGGUAAAAGCCUACCAAGGCAACGAUCAGUAGCUGGUCUGAGAGGACGACCAGCCACACUGGGACUGAGACACGGCCCAGACUCCUACGGGAGGCAGCAGUGGGGAAUUUUGGACAAUGGGGGCAACCCUGAUCCAGCAAUGCCGCGUGAGUGAAGAAGGCCUUCGGGUUGUAAAGCUCUUUUGUCAGGGAAGAAACGGUAGUAGCGAAUAACUAUUACUAAUGACGGUACCUGAAGAAUAAGCACCGGCUAACUACGUGCCAGCAGCCGCGGUAAUACGUAGGGUGCAAGCGUUAAUCGGAAUUACUGGGCGUAAAGCGUGCGCAGGCGGUUGUGUAAGUCAGAUGUGAAAUCCCCGGGCUCAACCUGGGAAUUGCAUUUGAGACUGCACGGCUAGAGUGUGUCAGAGGGGGGUAGAAUUCCACGUGUAGCAGUGAAAU